rnacentral:rRNA from 1 species
UCAUCGAAUCUUUGAACGCACAUUGCGCCCGCCAGUAUUCUGGCGGGCAUGCCUGUUCGAGCGUCAUUUCAACCCUCAAG